GCCGGGCGCGGUGGCUCACGCCUGUAAUCCCAGCACUUUGGGAGGCUGAGGUGGGUGGAUCACCUGAGGUCAGGAGUUUGAGACCAGCCUGGCCAACACGGUGAAACCCCAUCUCUA
rnacentral:SRP_RNA from 1 species